CUUAUAUUAAAAUCUGAAUUUUCUCCUACGCAGGUAGAUGCCCAGUUACAGGUAGUAAGAAAGCUGGAAGAGAAGGAGCACCUGCUUCAGAGUAACAUUGGCACAGGGGAGAAGGAGCUGGGUCUUAGGACUCAAGCCUUAGAGAUGAAUAAACGCAAGGCCAUGGAGGCGGCCCAGCUUGCAGAUGACCUCAAAGCACAGCUGGAACUGGCUCAGAAGAAGCUCCAUGAUUUUCAGGAUGAAAUUGUGGAGAACAGUGUCACCAAGGAAAAGGACUUGUUCAAUUUCAAACGCGCACAGGAAGACAUCUCUAGGCUCCGAAGAAAGCUGGAGACAACCAAGAAGCCAGACAACGUGCCCAAAUGUGACGAGAUUCUGAUGGAGGAGAUAAAGGACUACAAGGCGCGGCUGACCUGCCCUUGCUGUAACAUGCGUAAAAAGGAUGCAGUACUUACCAAGUGUUUUCACGUUUUCUGCUUUGAGUGUGUGAAGACGCGCUAUGACACUCGCCAGCGCAAGUGUCCCAAGUGUAACGCUGCUUUCGGUGCCAAUGAUUUCCAUCGCAUCUACAUUGGCUGAGUGCAGUCAAGAGAGAGAACUGGCUAGGCAAGCACUUACUCAUCAGUCACCAGGCCUCUACCUCUCCCUCUGUGACAGCUGGCCGGCUCCCUGCUCCCCGGACUGUCCAGGUUCUCUUCGCCAGUAGCCAGAGAACAUUCGUGAAAAAGACUGCAAGUCUUGGGGUUUAGAAUGAACUAGAAGCUACUAGUGUUUGUCUUCCUAUCAGCUUUCUUUAUGUCCUUUCAGAGUUUUCAGCAUUUUCUUCUUGGGCAAAGCCUGUAAACUUGGAUUUACCCAUCCUCCUGAAGAAGUCAGGUUGAUGGUUUUGACACUGAGAAGGGAAUGUCAUAGAGUGAACAUAUACUAUUAUGGAGUAGUGAACUUUUAGAAAUAAGCUAUCGAUGGGCCCCAAAUUCUUGAUUUGGUAAUAAACCUUUCUAAACUUAGGUUGUAAAAUGGUAUAAUUGUGAUAGUCUCUCCUGGAAGGUUCGAAGCCUUAAUGAAAUUAUAUCCAGGAUAAGUCUAUCUCUCAUUUCUAGUAAACUGACUUUUUGGGUCAGUUGGACUUCUUGCUAAAGUUAUUUAUGUUUUAAGUAUUCAAAUAUUAAUAGGUUUUUUUUUUUAAUUUCUUAAGGCCAGAAUGAUUUCAAACAUGAUAGUUCCUAUGGUUUUGCUUUUUGUUUUUUUCCUCCUGAAAUCAGACUUAGUACUUAAGAAGCAGCAGGAAUGGAUUAUGAAGAGAUCUAGGUAGUCUAGGAUAAGAUCCAGAGAGGGUUGGUGAAUUAUGAAUUACUGUCAUCAUCCUCUCAGAGGGACUCUUUGAUUUCUGUUUUCCAGAAGAUUCUCAGUAAUGUUUCUGUAGGAUUUUAAUAUUCCAUAUACUUUCAAUUAAAGCAGGAUUCAGCUUU
rnacentral:lncRNA from 1 species